rnacentral:rRNA from 1 species
UACGUAGGAGGCGAGCGUUGUCCGGAGUUACUGGGCGUAAAGGGCGCGUAGGCGGCACUGUUAGUCAGGCGUGAAAGUCCUGGGCUCAACCUGGGAACUGCGCUUGAUACGGCAGAGCUAGAGGAUGGAAGAGGGUCGCGGAAUUCCCAGUGUAGAGGUGAAGUGCGCAGAUAUCGGGAGGAACACCGGUGGCGAAGGCGGUUCUCUGGGCCUUACCUGACGCUGAGGAGCGAAAGCGUGGGGAGCGAACAGG